CAGCGAAGCUUGCGUGAUCGCGGGGCCCGGUAUGGGGGUAGGGGCGGGUGUUGUGGUCGUUGAAGGUGGCGAGUAAGGAGGAGGGGACGAGGGGGGGGUG
rnacentral:rRNA from 11 species